rnacentral:lncRNA from 1 species
GACCUUGACAACUAGUGGUGGGUAUAAAGCUGCCUGCAGGCCGGGCGCGGUGGCUGACACCUGUAAUCCCAGCACUUUUCGAGGCCGAGGCGGGCGGAUCACUUGAGGUGAGGAGUUUGAGAUCCACCUGGCCAAAAUGAUGAAACCCUGUCUGUACUAAAUAUACAAAAAUUAUCCGGGCGUCGUGGUGGGCGCCUGUAAUCCCAGCUACUUGGGAGGCUGAGGCACGAGAAUUGCUUGAACCCAGGAGGCGGAGGUUGCAGUGAGCUGAGAGCGUGCCACUGCACUGCAGCCUGGUGACAAAGUGAGACUCCGUCUCAAUAAAUAAAUAAAUUAAUUAAAAAAAAAACAGCCUGCAGUACACCGGAACCAGGGCUGGGGACAGGCAGUAAGAAGUGCAGCCCAGGGGUCUGCUUCCUCUGUUUCCCCACAGAAGCUCACCUUUCUGUUGCUUAAUAGAGCUGCCGGGAUGGGGCAGGACUCCCGUUCCCCCUCCUUCACUCUACCACCCAAGCGGUCCCCAAGGUGAAUGCCACAUUCUUUAGUGAGCUUAGCCCUGCUGAUGUGCGGUGGUGCCUUUUCUAGGGCCCCUGUGCCUGUCAGCCAAGUCUACCCUGACUAUGCAGGGAAUGGCUUUCUUCUCUUGCCCGUUGGCGUUGGCGGCAGGCAGGGGCCUAGAUGUUGGCUUCUUCACUUUCCCUCCCUGGCUCCACAGAUCUCCCCCAGUUGCAGGCUCUCUGGUUCCUUGAACUUCCAAAGAUAAAUAAAUAGUGAUUGCAAAUGGAGGAAGGGAGAAGGGGAAUGGACUCCCCCAGCAGGAGCCCUCACAGGCGGUGGCCCAGGCUGCAUUCCUCAGGAAAGAGCUGACAGCAGAGCCACAGCCCAUAGGCAGGGCUGUGCAGCCCUCCUGCUCACAGGCAAGGAAGACUCUGAGAUCUCUGGCCUGGGUCAUAUAGCUUUUCUGUGAUUUCCUUUGGCUAAAUGAAGACACUCAAAGUCUAAAGAAGAAUUCUACUGGAACACCCACUCCUGGAGGCUGAACAGAGGCCAAAGGACAUUUAAUGAGGCGAGGCUUCCCCACCACUAGGAAUGAAAUGUCUGAUGGAGACAUCUACAAAACACUGGACUGUCCUGAGGGUCACCACAUUUGACUUCUUACCCACCCAGGGAGGUGAUGAAGUGGAGGUUACUUUCUUAUUUUGCAAGCUGGAGUGCAGUGGCAGGAACACGGCAGCCUCGAUCUCCUGGGUUCAAUCCUCCCACCUCCGCCUCCCAAGUAGCUGGAACUACAGAUUUUAACAAUCAGACUCAGGUCAACAGUGGUUGAGAUAAUGGCCCAUAAUUGGCUCCAGAAUGCAAACGUGGCAUUUCUCCAGGAUUCCAUUAGCUCAGAAUGACAAGUCCUGCAGAUGAGGACUACUUCCUGCACGAUGACCACAGCGGCUAAGAGGCUGAGGCAGGAGAACCGCUUGAACCCAGAAGGUGGAGACUGUGGUGAGCGGAGAUUGUGCUGUUGCAUUCCAGCCUGGGCGGCAGAGCAAAAGUCUGCCUCAAAUAAAUACAUAAAUAAAUGUCCUCUGUGCUGUCUCUGUGGAGGAUCAAGAGUGGUGGGACCAGUGGGGGAACAGGAGACAGUGAGGAGGCCAGGCCCACAGGCCAGUGG